GAUGAACGCUGGCGGCGUGCCUAAUACAUGCAAGUCGAGCGAACGGACGAGAAGCUUGCUUCUCUGAUGUUAGCGGCGGACGGGUGAGUAACACGUUGAUAACCUACCUAUAAGACUGGGAUAACUUCGGGAAACCGGAGCUAAUACCGGAUAAUAUUUUGCAUCGCAUGGUUCCAAAGUGAAAUACGGUCUUGCUGUCACUUAUAGAUGGAUCCGCGCUGCAUUAGCUAGUUGGUAAGGUAACGGCUUACCAAGGCAACGAUGCAUAGCCGACCUGAGAGGGUGAUCGGACACACUGGAAAUGAGACACGGUCCAGACUCCUACGGGAGGCAGCAGUAGGGAAUCUUCAGCAAUGGGCGAAAGCAUGACGGAGCAACGCCGCGUGAGGGAUGAAGGUCUUCGGAUCGUAAAACUCUGUUAUUAGGGAAGAACAUAUGUGUAAGUAAAUGUGCACAUCUUGAAGGUACCUAAUCAGAAAGACACGGCUAACUACGUG
rnacentral:rRNA from 1 species